rnacentral:misc_RNA from 1 species
CUUUGUUCCAUAAACAAUAGCAUUAUUCCCCCCUCUGUCAAUUGCUUCCAGUACAUCAUCAUGUUUCAGUGGUUUAUCAUUGGAGCUUGCUUUAAUAGUAACCACACUUACCACAGAAUCCACCAGAUUAUUUGAGCGUAAAAAACUAGAAUCCUCUUCAGCAACCAAGGGACUAGAAGGGAGCAGUUUACUCAGCUCUGUCGACAAAACAUAAACACCAAAAAAAAGAAUUCUG